rnacentral:rRNA from 1 species
GUAGGUGGCAAGCGUUGUCCGGAAUUACUGGGUGUAAAGGGAGCGUAGGCGGGAAAGCAAGUUGGGAGUGAAAUGUAUGGGCUCAACCCAUAAACUGCUUUCAAAACUGUUUUUCUUGAGUGAAGUAGAGGCAGGCGGAAUUCCUAGUGUAGCGGUGAAAUGCGUAAAUAUUAGGAGGAACACCAGUGGCGAAGGCGGCCUGCUGGGCUUUAACUGACGCUGAGGCUCGAAAGCGUGGGUAGCAAACAGGAUUAGAUACCCUGGUAGUCCACGCCGUAAACGAUGAUUACUAGGUGUGGGGGGACUGACCCCUUCCGUGCCGGAGUUAACACAAUAAGUAAUCCACCUGGGGAGUACGACCGCAAGGUUG